rnacentral:rRNA from 1 species
AGUGAACGCUGGCGGCGUGCUUAACACAUGCAAGUCGAACGAUAACGGAUUAUAGCUUGCUAUAAUUGUCAGCUAAGUGGCGCACGGGUGAGUAAUGUAUAGGUAAUAUGCCUCUUACUAAGGGAUAACAAAUGGAAACGUUUGCUAAUACCUUAUACUCCUUUUAAACAGAAGUUUAAAAGGGAAAGAUUUAUUGGUAAGAGAUUAGCCUGUAUUGUAUCAGUUAGUUGGUGGGGUAAUGGCUUACCAAGACUAUGACACAUAACUGGUUUGAGACGAUGAUCAGUCACACUGGAACUGAGACACGGUCCAGACUCCUGCGGGAGGCAGCAGUGGGGAAUAUUGCACAAUGGACGAACGUCUGAUGCAGCAACGCCGCGUGGAGGAUGACACAUUUCGGUGCGUAAACUCCUUUUAUAUGAGAAGAUAAUGACGGUAUUAUAUGCAUAAGCACCGGCUAACUCCGUGCCAGCCGCCGCCGUAA